rnacentral:rRNA from 1 species
UACGGGAGGCAGCAGUGGGGAAUAUUGCACAAUGGGCGCAAGCCUGAUGCAGCCAUGCCGCGUGUAUGAAGAAGGCCUUCGGGUUGUAAAGUACUUUCAGUCGUGAGGAAGGUGUUAAGGUUAAUAACCUUAGCAAUUGACGUUAGCGACAGAAGAAGCACCGGCUAACUCCGUGCCAGCAGCCGCGGUAAUACGAAGGGGCUAGCGUUGCUCGGAAUUACUGGGCGUAAAGGGCGCGUAGGCGGAUCGUUAAGUCAGAGGUGAAAUCCCAGGGCUCAACCCUGGAACUGCCUUUUGAUACUGGCGAUCUUGAGUAUGAGAGAGGUAUGUGGAACUCCGAGUGUAGAGGUGAAAUUCGUAGAUAUUCGGAAGAACACCAGUGGCGAAGGCGACAUACUGGCUCAUUACUGACGCUGAGGCGCGAAAGCGUGGGGAGCAAACAGGAUUAAGGAAUACC